AAGUGAAAAAGAAGAAGAGCUACGAAGAAGACAGGGGAAGAAAGGAGAGGAACGAGGGAGAAGAGGAGAGCGAGGGACCCAGGUUGUCACCGUCGAACCCGCCAACCGCGUCGCCGUUGUUCGUCCUCAUCACUGCCAGAGACGUCGCUAGGGAGCUCGCGCAAGUUGAACGUGCUGUCUUCCCGCACCAUCGCUGCCACCGUCGAGCCUUGUCGUCGUCACGCAAGACGCCACCACUGCCGUUAAUCGAAGCCGCCGCUCGCAAAGCCAAACCGCUGUGGAGCCUGAAGCCGAAGGGGGUUGUUACCACUGCUGUUCCUAGGGCACGUUGCUGCUGCUGUUGGGUUCGUCGCAGGGAGGAAUCCGAGCAAGGAAAGGAAGAAGGUGGCGAUAGAGACCUCCGCUGCUGCUGCUGUUACUAUCGGUGUUCCGGAGCUCGCGGUUACUGUCGUUGUUGGUGAUGAACCAGGUUGUGUCCUUGCUGCUGAUUGAUUGUAGUGAGAGACGUUGUAGCCACCACUUUUCAUUUUGAGUCAUUAUUGUCAUUGCUCGGUGCCGCUGCCCUUAGUUAGAACUACUGAAUGUUGUUGCUGCGGGAUUACGUUGAAAUUGUCUAUGAUGCUGUGAAUUCAAAAUUAGCGGGCUUAUCGUGGUUAAUUCGUGUGAGUUCAGCUAAUCGAGAGUUGAGAAUUUGAAAGAAAAGAAAUGGGGAUGAAGAAGAGUGAAAAAGACAGCAAAAAAGUGAUGGAAAAUAAGAAGAAUGAGAAGAAAGAUGUUGGCAGUGCUGCCAGCAAUGCAACCAUAGAAAAUGACAGCGUUUUUGCUUCUUGCUCCUUCUCUAGCCUUGGCCUUCGCCCUUCCUUAUGCGAUGAACUGCGUGAGUUUAUAUGUUUUUUGUUGAUAGAAAAAUUGGGAUUCGAGGUUCCAACUCUGGUGCAAGCUCAAGCCAUUCCUGUUAUUCUCGCUGGCCGUCAUGCACUUAUUAAUGCUGCCACAGGCACAGGGAAGACAGUUGCCUACUUAGCUCCACUUAUUCAUCACUUGCAGAAUUAUGAUACUUGCAUACAACGCUCUGAUGGAACAUUUGCGUUGGUUCUUGUACCGACGCGUGAGCUAUGUUUGCAGGUUUAUGAAAUUCUUCAAAAGCUAUUGCAUCGAUUCCAUUGGAUUGUUCCCGGGUAUGUUAUGGGUGGUGAAAAUAGAUCAAAGGAGAAAGCUAGGCUACGCAAAGGCAUAUCAAUUCUUAUAGCAACACCUGGGCGCCUUUUAGAUCAUUUGAAGAAUACAUCAUCAUUCUUGUACACAAAAUUGCGCUGGAUAAUUUUUGAUGAAGCUGAUAGGAUUUUGGAAUUAGGAUUUGGACAAGAUAUACAGGAAAUACUACAUCUUUUGGGUUCAAGGAAAGCAGCAAAUGAUAACAAGGAGAGUACAGUUCCAAGAAACUCUGAAUUUCAAAGGCAGAAUUUGCUUUUUUCUGCCACCUUAAAUGAGAAAGUGAACCAUCUUGCUAAAAUAAGUUUACACAAUCCAGUGAUGAUUGGUCUUGAGGGUAAAACAAGAAAACCAAUAUCAACAAUUGAAAGCAUUAAUCCUUCAGAGUCUGAUGAAGAAGACGAAGUCAAGUAUUCCAGUAAAAUACCAACAAUUGUAGAUUAUAAAAUCCCCACACAGUUAAUUCAGAGAUACGUGAGAGUGCCUUGUGGUUCUCGGCUUGCUGUUCUUCUUUCAAUUCUAAAGCAUCUUUUUGAAAGAGACACUUCACAAAAGGUUGUGGUAUUCUUUUCGACAUGUGAUGCGGUAGACUUUCACCAUUCGCUACUAAGUGAGUUCCACUUCUCGACUGAUCCUCAAACAAAAGAAAGGGUCAUACAGAUGUUUCUUGGAUGCCAAACUUUUCGAUUGCAUGGUAAUAUGGAACAUGAAGACCGGAGAUCUACUUUUCAGGCUUUUAAAACUGAGAAAUCUGCUUUGCUUUUGUCCACUGAUGUUUCUGCUAGAGGCCUGGAUUUUCCUAAGGUUCGAUGCAUCAUACAGUAUGAUUCUCCUGGGGAAGCUACUGAAUAUGUGCACAGAGUUGGUAGAACUGCUCGUCUGGGUGAAAGGGGAGAGUCCUUGUUAUUUCUGCAACCAGUUGAAAUAGAUUAUUUACAGGACUUGGAGAAACAUGGUGUUUCACUAGCAGAGUAUCCUCUUCUCAAAGUGUUGGAUAAUUUUACAUUACACGGACAUAACAAACAAGUAAAGAAGUCUAUUUUCAUUGACUUGCAUCCUUGGGUCCUUUGUCUCCAGAAGGCACUCGAGUCAUUCAUCAUUUCCAAGGCUCUUCAAUCCUAAUCACAGCCACCAACUUAGUUUGGUGGAAUUGAUAAGGGAACUUUUUGAAGUGGUGGGAUUGGAUGAUCCCUGCUGCUGUUGAGUCAUUGUUUAUGGUGGCAGAUUCUGGAGAAAAAUCUAACCUACUCCAAAACGAUUAGACUUAGAUAACGCCCAAGAUGGAUGAACUUGCUAGGAAGGGAUUUUGCUCUUGGGUCCGUGCUUACACAGCACAUCGUGGUGAGCUGAAAAGAAUAUUUAUGAUCAAGAAACUUCACUUGGGGCACGUGGCCAAAAGCUUUGCGUUGAAACAACAACCAUCCUUAGUUGGACAAUCCUUCCAAAAGCAAAAUAAGAAGAGAAAGAGAUUUGAGAAAAAAAAUGGGCUAUCGAAAAAGAGAAAAGUUGCUAGAGUGACUUAGGCCCAGUUUUGAUAAAUAAUUUAAAUAAGUUCUUUUUAAGGAGUUUUAUUAAUAGCA